CUUUUUUUUUUUUUUUUUUUAAUGUACCAAGGUACAAUAAUUAAAUGUGAUUUUUUUUUUCCUCAUGGAAUUUUCAAACUUUUACUAUAUCGCCAAUGAAAUUUCCACAUCUCACCUGAAAUUUUUAGAAAAGGCUAUGCUGAGAAUUAAGAAUGUAUUACUUUUUCUAUGCCUAUUUAUUGUUAUAUUUUACUUUAGGAACUCUACAGGCUUUUUAAAAUACCUCCUUUUUUCAUUCUUCAACUUAUUGUUUGGUUCUUGCAGUGAAGACCUGAGCUAUAUCUCACACUGAAUAUACCAGAAUCUAGUUUUGGCAGUUUCCGGAAAGUUACCAUUUUAAAAGAAGUGUUUAACAAAUGUUUCCUUUUUUCACCACUGUCAGUCUCUGGGAGAUCACUAUCUUCCUUUCAUUUAAUUAAAAAAAAAAAAUCUGUCUCAGUGUUUAUGUUGCUAUUUUUCCCUCUAAAAUAUGCUGACUCUCCCAGUAACAAAUGUCUAGAAUCUAGAUUAUAACUCGCUCAUUUUGUGUUCAGAUUAAGAUUACCAUCCCAUCUUUUCACAUUUCCAUGGUGUUAGGAGGCCCACUUCAAGGUUAAAAACCAAAGUCACAGAAUGAGUUAGGUGACAGUGUCAUAUAUAACUCAAUCCCAGAUCUUUUGAAUCCUGAUAGCCCACUUCCUAUUCCUGCCAUCAGAUUAUAAAACAUAAUACUAGGGUGGAAAGACUUCAAACUAUUGCAGACAAUGCUCUACAUAUUUGCAUAAUCUUGAAUCAAUUUGGUCAUGUUUUUAUGGUGGUACUUAAGACUACAGCUAUGAAGGAACAGGCUCAAAUUUGAUAUAAAAACUAAGCCAAUGUGCAAAAAUAUUCAUUUGUUCAUCAAAUAUUAAAUGUCCACUCUGGAAGUUACUGUACCAAGCAUUUGGUAAACAGUGGUGUACAUGGAUGUGAUCCUUAUACUUUCCAGUUCUGUGGGCUAUACUGACCCAGAAAGGUUUAAAUGGUUUCUUUUAUCAGAGGUGAACAGUUUUAUGUUGAUCCCAUAAUGCAACUACAUUAUGAUGAUGGCACUCAUUCUCAAGUGUGAGGUAGUAUAUCAGAGAAAACCAGACUAGGAAUGUUGGCUGUUCUACUAAUUUGAACUCUGUUCUUUCAAGUACUGUCCUUUUAUUCUAAAUGUAAGACAUCAAAAGUAUUAUUAGUACUAUUAUAUUACUAAUAUGACAUUGGAAAUCUAACUACAAAAUAAACUCUGAAUACUAUAAAGAAUUCCACAUAAAGUCUCAAGUACUCUGACCCAGGGAAGCACUGUUUCCACAAGGACUUAAUAGUGUCGAGGUAAUUUCAUUUUCUACUCUUUCUGCAGCUGGAAAAGCAUCUAAAUAUGAAUAGUGACCCAAGAGAAAACAACAAGGAACUCAGGGUGGCUACAGUGACAACAGGAACUGGUACAAAGCCUGAAAAUAAAAUGUAAACCCAAAUCUCAAGUGCAUUUUAGGAAAAGUACCAAUUGCCCAGCUACCUCUUCACAGCAGCUGCAAAGGAAGAAAUGUUCUUCUCUCAUAAGACUUUCAAUUCCAUGACGUUACAUUCACACCUGCUAA